rnacentral:lncRNA from 1 species
CAAGUUAGGGCCACAGUGGACAGCUUCCAGAACAGAAAUAAGACAGUCCCAAGACAACAGAGUAUAAAAUUGUAGAGGACAGGUUAAUACUCUUCACCCUCAUCCUCUCCCUCAGCACUAUCUGCUCCAACCUCCUCAUAAUCUUUCUCAAGGGCAGCCAUGUCCUCACGGGCCUCAGAAAACUCUCCUUCCUCCAUGCCCUCACCCACAUACCAGUGAACAAAGGCACGCUUGGCAUACAUCAGGUCAAACUUGUGGUCCAGGCGAGCCCAGGCCUCAGCAAUGGCUGUGGUGUUGCUCAGCAUGCACACAGCUCGCUGUACUUUGGCCAGGUCUCCACCAGGUACCACAGUGGGAGGCUGGUAAUUAAUGCCAACUUUGAAGCCAGUGGGGCACCAGUCCACGAACUGGAUGGUACGCUUGGUCUUGAUGGUGGCAAUGGCAGCAUUGACAUCUUUGGGAACCACAUCACCACGGUACAACAGGCAGCAAGCCAUGUAUUUACCAUGGCGAGGGUCGCAUUUCACCAUCUGGUUGGCUGGCUCAAAGCACGCAUUGGUGAUCUCUGCUACAGUAAGCUGUUCAUGGUAGGCUUUCUCAGCAGAGAUGACAGGGGCAUAUGUGGCCAGAGGGAAGUGGAUGCGGGGAUAGGGCACCAGGUUGGUCUGGAAUUCUGUCAGGUCAACAUUCAGGGCUCCAUCAAAUCUGAGGGAAGCAGUGAUGGAAGACACAAUCUGGCUAAUAAGGCGGUUAAGGUUAGUGUAGGUUGGGCGUUCGAUAUCGAGGUUUCUACGACAGAUGUCAUAGAUGGCCUCGUUGUCUACCAUGAAGGCACAAUCAGAGUGCUCCAGGGUGGUGUGGGUAGUGAGGAUGGAGUUGUAGGGCUCAACGACAGCAGUGGAAACCUGGGGGGCUGGGUAAAUGGAGAACUCCAGCUUGGACUUCUUGCCAUAAUCGACAGAGAGACGUUCCAUCAGCAGGGAGGUGAACCCGGAACCAGUUCCCCCUCCAAAGCUGUGGAAAACCAAGAAGCCCUGAAGACCCGUGCACUGGUCGGCCUGCAAAAAAAAAAAAAAAGUUUUAAUUUAGCCUUGGUGAAAGCUGCAAUGACUUCUUUGAAUCCAUAAUUACAUUGAUCGAUUUUUUUUUAAUUUUUUAAAGUUUUUAUUUAUUUAAGUAAUUUCUACACCCAACGUGGAGAUCAAACUCAUGACCCAGAGAUCAAGAGUUAUAUGCUCUUCCAACUGAGACAGCCAGGCACCCCUGAUCGAGAUAUUUUUUAAUCUCCUGAACAAUAUUUGCAAAGAAAGCAGUCAUAAAGAGCUUCUAAGUGCUAAGAUUCAGAGAAACUUUUCACAAUUCCGGGGGGGGGGGGCAGAAAUCUGCUAAACGGCUAUUUAAAAAUGAACUAUUUUCAUUUCCACAGGCAGAGGAAUCAUGAGGUCUGGAAUAGAUGCAAGGCCCAAGUUUUAGCGACUGGGAAAGCAACCGCUGGUGCCCUUGCUGUGACUGCAGAACAAGUAUGACUUUUCAGCAGCUGGAGAGCUACCGAGGGCAGGCCUGGGACCACCAGCCCCAUACAAUAGAAGUCUUAGAAAGAUCUGGCAGCUGCUUUCUGAGCUGGAGUAACACAGAAUAGCCGAGUUCCAAUGCACUGGUGUUGGGAGUCAGGCUGAGUCUGGAUCCGGCUCUACCAGUUCCUUGCUGUGUGGCUUUGACCAAAUUUAUUUCUCAAUCUCCGUCUUCGCGUUUAUUGAGAAUAGUAAUCUCCAUCAGGUCAUUGAGAAUUAAAUGAGUACGUGGAACAGUGUUUGGCACGGUAAGCACUAGUUAUCAGAGAGCCUAUUGAUUCUGAAAAAGGUGAUUUACUAUGAUAGGACCAUGAGACCUAAUGUCAGUGGGGCUUUUCACCACUUAACUGAGCUAUUCCAGUUAGCAAACUACCAUUCUGUGAAAGCAUUGAUUUUUGACUUUUCAAAGUCUUCUGCUGACAAUCCUCACUUCUCAGAAGUGCUGAGGGGUGCCUGGGUGGCUCAGUCGGUUGAGUGUCUAACUUCGACUCAGGUCAUGAUCUCGCAGUUGACGAGUUCGAGCCCCGGGCUCUGUGCUGACAGCUCAGAGCCUGGAGCCUGCUUCAGAUUCUGUGUCUUCCUCUCUCUCUCUGCCCCUCCCCUGCUCAUGCUCUGUCUCAAAAAUAAAUAAAUAUUAAAAAAAAAAAAAAAAAAAAGAAGUGCUGAGAUUUGUGGAAUUCUCUACCAACCCCUCACUGUACUUCUCCUGUGGGUCCACACUCUGGGAUCAAUGUACAGGGCAGACUCUGGUCUACCAAUUAAAUCCACUCAGCCUCCUAUGGACACAGUAAUAAUACUAAGGACAAAUACAAUUAUUUUGGUAGUUAAUCAACUUUACUCCAGAACCCUUGAUGGGUUUUACUAGGUUUAUUUGCCCCUAAAGGCAGGUCCUGAUUUCCAAGUCAGUGCUUGUAGCUGAAGCUUGAUUUAUAAACAUAGAACCAUUACCCCAAUUUUGCUAGGAAGGGUGUGAUAAGCAUCUGGAAAAGUAUGAAGCUGUGAAUGAUGCAAAGUCAUUCUUUUUAGACUAGACCAGUUGUGGCCAGGCUUAGAAUGUGAUUUUCUGGACAAACUACUCUACCAAAGCCUUUAUUCUUGAUUUUUGGUUAAUUACUUACAAGCUGCCCACAGGCCUCAGGAGUAGAGUCAUCUGGAUACCAGACUCUGAACACAAAAUGAUCCAGGGGCGUCUGGGUGGCUCAGUUGGUUUUAAGCGUCUGACUCUUGAUUUUGGCUCAGGUCAUGAUCUCACGGUUCUUGUGACCACGGUUCUUAUGUUCGAGCCCUGAGUCAGGCUCUAUGCUGACAGUGCGGAGCCUGCUUGGGAUUNCUCUCUCCCUCUCUCCCUCUCUCCCUCUCUCCCUCUCCCUCUCCCUCCCUCUCUCCCUACCCCUCCCCCCACCCACAUGCAUGCUUGCUCUCAAAAAUAAAUAUUUAGGGGCGCCUGGGUGGCGCAGUCGGUUAAGCGUCCGACUUCAGCCAGGUCACGAUCUUGCGGUCCGUGGGUUCGAGCCCCGCGUCGGGCUCUGGGCUGAUGGCUCAGAGCCUGGAGCCUGUUUCCGAUUCUGUGUCUCCCUCUCUCUCUGCCCUUCCCCCAUUCAUGCUCUGUCUCUCUCUGUCCCAAAAAUAAAUAAACGUUGAAAAAAAAAAUAAAUAAAUAAAUAAAUAUUUAAAAAAUAAAUAAAAUGAUCCUAACAGAACAUUUACUUAUCGACUUUUACUGAUGUGAAUACCGUUGCCUAAGAUUUUUCUGUCACAGUGCCGGUUCACACGGGUCUGAGCUCUAGUGGAAAAGCAAGCAUACUACUUUCUGUGAGUACAUGUCAAUACUUUCCAAGUUUCAAGGACGACACUAGCUUCCAUAAUAAGGGAGCUCCCUUGAUUGCACUUUCAAUGUUGUUGGAAGAUUCCAGUGUCCACCAUUUCUAGUCAGUGUUAUACUGGCUUCUCAUGCUCUGUACUUUCUGUAUCAACAUAACGCACCAACCCUGAUAGACAUAUUUUUAAAAUACAUAUAAAAUAUAGAUAUACAUAUAUUUUUUUAGGAGUUUGAUCAAUUAGUUACAUUUCGGAGUCUGCCACCUUCUCAAUGUGACUAAGAUAACCUAAAAGGGGGCAUUCUUAGCUUGAAGCAGGGAAGCUGCUUGAUUAAUAUGAAUAAGGAUGUUUAAUGGUCUUAAAUGUCAAACUGCUACAGCUCCCUGGUUCUCACCUUCACUUUAGGUAAACUGCCCUGCCUUAAGCAUUUGUCCAAGUCUGCUUUAUAACACAUAGAAAUAGGCAAUAGAGCAUUUAACCCUGACCUAAAUAGUUGUUUCAUAACACAGGACCAUCUGAUUUAAAAAGUCUGGUUACCUGGGGUGCCUGGGUGGCUCAGUCAGUUAAGCAUACGACUUCAGCUCAGGUCAUGAUCUCCAUUCAUGGGUUUAAGUCCCACAUCAGGCUCUGUGCUGACAGCUCAGAGCCUGGAGCCUGCUUUGGAUUCUGUGUCUCCCUCUCUCUCUGCUCCACCCCCUGCCCCACUAUCUCUCAAAAUUAAAUAAAAUUAAAAAAAAAUUUUUUUUAAAUAAAAAAUUAAAAAAAAUAAAGUCUGGUUACUUACUGAGCACUCAAAGGUUCAUUUUAGGAUACAAAGAAUGAUUCUUAUAGUUUGGUCUCCCUUAAAACUGUAAGAGAACAUUCUCAUCUCACUUUAAAUAAAACACUACAUUGGGGCACCUGGGUGUCUCAGUCAGUUGAGUGUCUGACUCUUGAUUUUGGCUCAGGUCAUGGGAUCAAGCUGUCAGAGCUGAGCCUGCUUGGGAUUCUCUCCCUCUCUCUCUGUCCCUCCCCCCAACUCACACUCUCCCACUCUCUCUCAAAAUAAAUACACUUAAAACUUAUAUAUGUAUAUUAAAUAAAACACUAUGUUUACCAGUUUCCGAAUUCGGUCCAAGACAAGGUCGAUGAUCUCCUUGCCGAUGGUGUAGUGCCCUCGGGCAUAGUUAUUGGCAGCAUCUUCCUUGCCCGUGAUGAGCUGCUCAGGAUGGAAGAGCUGGCGGUAGGUGCCAGUGCGAACUUCAUCUGGAAGAGAAAAACAAAGCAGCCACCCGUCACCCACAACCUGCACACGCCUGCUCCACCCCAGGGUGUCAACGGAGCCCUCACGACAGACCUCCUGUCUCAAGAGCCCUGAGAUCUCCCUUGGGUUACUGAGGCCAACUCACCAAUGACUGUGGGUUCCAGGUCUACAAACACUGCCCUGGGCACAUGCUUGCCAGCUCCCGUCUCACUGAAGAAGGUGUUGAAGGAGUCAUCUCCUCCCCCAAUGGUCUUGUCACUUGGCAUCUGGCCAUCGGGCUGGAUGCCGUGUUCCAGGCAAUAGAGCUCCCAGCAGGCAUUGCCGAUCUGAACACCAGCCUGGCCAACGUGGAUGGAGAUGCACUCACGCUGUGGGAAGAAGAAAGGAAAAUGUCAGAAUAUGACACAUCAGAUGGGAUGUUUAGGAAUGACUCACACCUAAAUGACUAAUUAACUUUCAGGAUAGAAAGUCACCUUUCUGGAAGCCACUCCUGCCCAGGGUUUAUUUCACAAGCAACAGUCUUUGCUGACUAAUUCAGAGAAAAUGCUUUGCAAAACCAAAGAUAUGUUAAUGAACUACUAGGCAAGACCAGAGAUCAGACUCUUGCUUUGUAGUCACAUUAGAUAUUCAAGGUCAGGUUUCUACCAUUUUAGAAAGACCUAAACUGUUCCACAGCAAUACAUUUCCCCCAGCUCCUGGGAAAUAUGCCUGCCAAUUCCUUAAAGGCAUGCAAAAUUCCCCCCUUCCAGCUCUGAUUCAUUCCAUGUGAUUGUAUAACUGUCGAGCUCAUUCUGGUCCCUCUUUAAUCCUAUUCUUUAAAAGACAAGAGCUUCUCCCUCUCCCUUUAAAACCAGCUUAAACCAGCAAACUAUAGCCAUAUGACUCAUGGAAAAAAUGCCAGAUAAGCAGCAGUUAGCUGUAUUUUAGAAACUGUGGUCAGAGGCAGCUUUUUAACUCUGUGGAAGAACUUAAUCGCAAGGAAGAACAUUUUUCCUUCACUAUCAACAAAUCUUCAGUAGAGGGUGGUGGUGGAGACACAUGGUAAUAAAAGCUGAAAGUGUCAACAAAACUUUACUAAUAGCUUAAGAAAUUCACUGUUUCCUACCAAAACAUACAUACAUGUAUCUCUGGCACUGUGGAAAAGUCUAUGGUGCCAAGAAUUUAACGAUAUUGGGAAAAUGUUUUCUUUUACUUGAUGAACAAGAUCAUCUAUAAGUUACCAAAUUCAUUCCUGCUUAGUAAAAUAAGGCCAUGAACAUAGAAUCCAUACCCCUAGAUUUAAGAGGAAAACAGAAAAAAUGGGUGUUUAUUAUAUUUCAUCAUAAGUCAGAUUAGCUACUUUGGAGAUUGACAGAGGACUUUCAAAAUUGAUACCAAAUAUCUCCCAUUACAUUUUCCCCGAAUAGGAGGGUUUCGAGUUCUUCGAAGCUGCUAACAGGAAACUAAAGAAAACUCAACACCGCUAAGAUCUCAAAGGUCCUACUUUCAUAACCGGAGAUAAUAAAAACCCCAAUCACUCACAACCUUUGACUUAUGGUCCCCUCCUUCCCACAUACACUCAUAAAACAACCAUGGUCUUCUAACCACAUCACUUGGCUCAUUAUGACCUGAGUCUACUCACCCAGGUCUAGGGCUAUGGGAGAAAGGGGAGUUGUUUAUUCUAAUGAGUCCAUGAGUAUUUAUAAUUGCAUCCUGUUUACCUUUAACUGGACUUUGGAAAUUUUACAGCCUGAGAAAGCUGGAGAGAUCUGCCCAUGACAGCCCCAGGCCCAAGGAGAUAAAGUUUUUGAGAAGAACCUUUCAUUCUAAUGAAGGGUUUCUUUGAUGGAUUUUUGAGCCCAAAAAACUUUCAUUGGGCAGCAGUCUCAACAGCUUUCUCCUUUAGACUUUCUCCACUCUCCCCUGGCCACUCGGGGGAUGAAGGGAGACACAGGUGAUAGAGUCACUUAGUCUAACUUUCACUGGAUAACCGGCCCCUGUCUCUAAUUAAAAAACAAAACAACAACAAAAAAUCCAAACUAUUAACUUAGCCAGUGUUUGCCUAAAUCAUUGCUCUCCUGCCCUUUAAACAGUCCUACUACUUUCUGAAUCGCACUUUUACCAGGUUUUUUUUGUUUUUGUUUUUGUUUUUUGUCUGCUUGGUGAAAAGCACUCAAGCAAGUUGUUACAGUCAGACUUAGUUUUUUAACAGCUGUGGUAGUCUCUGAAGAGGUGGCUGGUCUGUUCACUGUAUCCCCUUUUCUUUAAAGAUACUAUUUUGAAACAUUUGAUACACAAAUACUAGUUUAAAAGUACGGCUUAUUUUAGGUUGACCUCCAACAGACCUUCUCCAAGAACACAUUGUUAGUACUAGUUUGCUCAGAGGUUUUAUACGAAAAUACCUCUUCAUGGACUAGUUUUUUAAAAAUCUGGCUUAAGUACCAAGCUUCAGCUAUAAACGUCCCACUAAGUUAACACAGAAACGCAAAAUUAGACGUGACAGUUAAGAGUUCCCUUAAAAGGAGCAGCCUGUUCACAUCUCUCAGGUGGACUGAUGCAAUUGGAAGCUCUCCCCAGAGACCAGCCACAGGUGACUCAGCAGGCAGUCACCGGGCGCUGGAGAGCGGGCGCAGGGAGCGUAUGCACCUUGGGAGCUGGAGCGCACCUAGUGCUCCAGGGCGGUAGGUAGUGGGAAGGUGAGGUAGGUCACUGACGGAAAUGGAGGGGAGGGAUUUUUCGUUUCCACAAGUCCUUGGGGGGGGCCGGUGUGAAGGCUUCCCGGUCUGCCUUAGGCUGUGGCGGGCCCUGGGGCGAUGCCCUCUAGGAUCAGGAGGGCUUUCCACUCCCACCAAGGGCAGUGUCCUGGCCGCGUUUUCGAGCCCGAAGAGGAGUUUGCGGGUGAACUCGGCUUUUCCAGCCUGGCCAUCAGAAGCAAGUUUGCUCAGCUGCGUCCCACCUGCACCCGGGCUCCCCCGCCCCUUCGGACUGCUCUCACACCCACGCCACGUCCCAAGGACCCCCACUCACCAUGACUAAGAAUUGUAGGGUUCCUUGAGGC